GGACAACGUUUAAUAUCUAUAGCACUUACACUUCCACCAUUUUUGAUUCUGACAGCUUUUCCGUGCCAGUCCCGUUGUCUUAUGGGAUAGCGCAGUGUCCACUGGUUCCUUGGUGCAGAAUCUCGGCGGAAGCAGUAGUUCACCCCGGAUUGAUCGAGGAAACUGAUCGGGAGGAUUCACUGACAAGCUGCUUCCCACAUUAGCAUCCAGUUACAUCUGUGAAGACUGCUUUGGUUAAAAAGGAUAAGCCAACAUGAAGAUCAGAGAGCUGUCUAUGGGAGAAAAGCAAGCAAUUUUGAAGCUGAGAAAAGGGGAAAAAUCAAUCCGUGGCACUGCACAAGCAUUGGGCAUAGCCAGUGCAACAAUUUGGAAAGAAACCACUGGUGUACCGAGCAACAGACACCAAAUGGGUCGGCCAAGGAAAACAAGAAGAUGGCAGAAACACUUGUGAGAGUUGUGAAGAAAAACCUAAAAACUACAGUCCGUGACGUCACCAACAACCUCCACAGGUGAGGGAUGAAGGUAUCACAAUCCACCGUUCGAAGAAGACUUCGACAGCAGAAAUAUAGAGGCCAUACCACAUCAGCGCAUUCUCAAAGUUUCUGUCAUCAGCUGCUGUCGGGGUCUGGAAAUUUACACUGACACAAUACAAAUCUAUUCCUUUCAAAUAUUACACACUGUUUUAAAGUCCAACAUCAAGACCAUCAUUGGAACAGUGAAAAAGUAACACUGUUCAGCAUUUCUUAUUUAUUUCCCUAAAUCAUUUUCCCC
ensembl:lncRNA